rnacentral:lncRNA from 1 species
GCUGCAUGCGAGAAGCUUCAUUUUAAAAAAAACGGCGAUUUUUAGGUUGUCCCGCGUAACAUAUUUCAUUUAUUGUAACCACUAAACUCUGAUUUUUGUCGAAACUAUUUAAUAUUUUGAAAAAACGUUUUUUUCCAUUAUUAAACAGAAUGGUUCAUUCAGUCUUUGAUGCAUUUUUUAUGACGUUAUGAUGAUGUCAUAGAAAAAAAACGCGUUCCAUCCUACAAGGGCAAAUCUGUCCCACGGUCAAAAAAAAUGGGAUUCCAGAUUUGAGAAUCAAAAAACAUUUAUCUAACAUGAAAAAAGUUUAGUAUUUGUAUUUACUACAUCAAUGUUAAUUUGCUUAAUUUUAUGAAUUUAAAGACAAAUAUCCUGAAAAAUGAUAUAUGGUAAUUUAUGAGCGAUUUUUCAAAGGCUUACAAGGUUGUCGCACCGCCAUUUUUUGACGUAAAAACGAACUCAACU